rnacentral:misc_RNA from 1 species
GAAAUGCGAUAAGUAAUGUGAAUUGCAGAAUUCAGUGAAUCAUCGAAUCUUUGAACGCACAUUGCGCCCCGUGGUAUUCCGCGGGGCAUGCCUGUUCGAGCUUCAUUUCACCACUCAAGCCUCGCUUGGUAUUGGGCGACGCGGUCCGCCGCGCGCCUCAAAUCGACCGGCUGGGUCGAUCGCACCCUCAGCGUUGUGGAAACUAUUCGCUAAAGGAGUUGUGGUCGGUCACGCCGUGAAACAAACCAAUCUUUCAAUGGUUGACCUCGGAUCAGGUAGGGAUACCCGCUGAACUUAA